rfam:Myotis brandtii contig221435, whole genome shotgun sequence.
CAUGCACUGGUGGGGUCCCUCAGCCUGGUCUGCACCCUCUUGCAAUCUGGGACCCCUCAGGGGAUGCAGGCCAGGCCGAGGGACCCCACUGGUGCACA